rnacentral:lncRNA from 1 species
AGCCUUUCCAGCACGGGUCCCUCUGCACCUGGGCAUUAAACUCCAUCCCACGCCCUCCCGAAGCCCCCCCAGCAAAGGGCUGGGGACGCGGCACUCCUCGGGCACCGCUGCAGCACGGCACAGAGAGCGCUGUGCCCCGGGGCAGGGCAGAGCCACGUCUCUGCCCCCGGCGUGGCUUUUUGGCGGCUGUUUGCUCAAGGCAGAGCAUGUCCGCAGCCCCAGCACCAGCCCGGAGGAGCGCCUGGGGCAGGGUGACAUUAACCCAGCUCGCAGCCCCGGCUGCUCCGCGCCUCCCUCGGCUGCUCCAGAAACGUGGCCACGAGGGCCGGAGGCUGGGAAUCGGGAGCAGGGAGGAGUGCGUCAGCACAACGGGAACGGGCACCGGGGGAAAUCAGGGGGUGCCACGGCCGGGCAGAGGCAGGGCCCGGGCUCGUGGCGCCAGGCAGAGACGCACUGCUCGUCAGAGCACAAGAGCGGGGUGAAACCCGGGGUGCAGGGAGCCUCCGGCACUCCACACACACAGCACCGUGCUCUGUGUCCCCUCAGCACCACCAUCCCCAAAGUGGUGCAACGUGCAGCGAUCCCACACCUCCGGGCACGACCGCUCCCAUGCACUUCUGUCCCCACAGCAGGCUCCCUGGCAGCAGGAACGCCUUCCUCCACCCUGCAGGGAUGCUCCCCCAGCUGGGGGCUCCUGAUGCCCCACCUGGCAAAACCCCGGUGCCCUCCUCACCCGCAGCCUCAAGGCUCAGCACAGCCGCCCUCGCACAGUGGGGGACAGUGGCACAUGGGGACAGUGCCAUCGCUGUCCCCACGCCAAUGCGCAUCUCCGAGCAGCACCACCACGUGCUCCCCAACAGCGCUGCCGUCCCCGCAGUGCCCCAGGGAUGUGGCAUCUGUCCCCAAGCAGCAGGGGCUGCAUCCGUGAGCACAAGGUAACCAUGGGGCUCUGAAAACUCAUCAAUGACUGGCUCCUCCCACUGCUAAUUAACCACCAGGCCCCGCCCACUGCAGUGCACGGGCUCCUCCCCCCUUCAUCAGGCUCCUCCCCCAGUUCCCCACACCCAGGUG